rnacentral:rRNA from 1 species
UACGUAGGGGGCUAGCGUUGUCCGGAUUUAUUGGGCGUAAAGAGCGUGUAGGCGGUUAUACAGGUCCGCUGUGAAAACUCGAGGCUCAACCUCGAGACGUCGGUGGAAACCGUAUGGCUAGAGUCCGGAAGAGGAGAGUGGAAUUCCCGUGGUAGCGGUGAAAUGCGCAGAUAUCGGGAGGAACACCAAUGGCGAAGGCAGCUCGCUGGGACGUUACUGACGCUGAGACGCGAAAGCGUGGGGAGCAAACAGG